GUUUAUUUUAAUAGUUCAACCUUAUAGCAUCUACAUAUUUGUACUAUGGUACGGUUUUGAAAAUUGUAUUCAUUGUGUUGACCAACUAUCCUACACGUCUUGAUUCAUUCACAUUAUAGAUCACAUUUCAAAAACAUACUAUCGGUUUGCGUUCUCAAAAAUUCCGGAUAAAAUGUCAAUGAAUCCGGAGUCAAAACAUUUAAUGUAGGCCGU
rnacentral:lncRNA from 1 species